rnacentral:rRNA from 1 species
AUUGAACGCUGGCGGCAUGCCUAACACAUGCAAGUCGAACGGCAGCACGGUCGUAGCAAUACGAUGGGUGGCGAGUGGCGGACGGGUGAGUAAUGCAUCGGGACCUACCCAGACGUGGGGGAUAACGUAGGGAAACUUACGCUAAUACCGCAUACGUCCUACGGGAGAAAGCGGGGGACCUUCGGGCCUCGCGCGGUUGGACGGACCGAUGUGCGAUUAGCUAGUUGGUAGGGUAAUGGCCUACCAAGGCGACGAUCGCUAGCUGGUCUGAGAGGAUGAUCAGCCACACUGGGACUGAGACACGGCCCAGACUCCUACGGGAGGCAGCAGUGGGGAAUAUUGGACAAUGGGCGCAAGCCUGAUCCAGCAAUGCCGCGUGUGUGAAGAAGGCCUUCGGGUUGUAAAGCACUUUUAUCAGGAACGAAAUACCACGGGUUAAUAACUUGUGGGGCUGACGGUACCUGAGGAAUAAGCACCGGCUAACUUCGUGCCAGCAGCCGCGGUAAUACGAGGGGUGCAAGCGUUAAUCGGAAUUACUGGGCGUAAAGGGUGCGUAGGCGGUUAGUUAAGUCUGUCGUGACAUCCCCGGGCU